AAUCCAAACUGAAUUCAGCUAAUUGUGUGUCCAAUGGACUAUUGGCGUUGUCAAAGAAAUGAUAAGAUUGGAACAAAAGUGCCCGACUCAUCAUCCUCACCUGUAAUUACUGGUUGCCAUGACUUUUAUGCCGUCACCAAAGCAUUCUAGGAUCAGCCCAUAAUCUACGCCAAUGGCAGUACAGGCCAGGUGUUGGAAGAUUUUAACUGUUGAUCAUAUCAAGCCGAGCUAACCACUGUUAAUACCCGAGAAGAAGAGUUGAAGAAGAUCUCCAGAAGACUGCAGUCUCACCGCGAACGUCCUGACUGACCUGACAAGAAACUCGAGUUCGAAGAUGAAGCUGGCCUUGUGUGGUGUUCUUUUCCUGUGCUGUGUGGUGCUGGUCGCGGCCGUGCCUUCACGGCGUGAGGAGGAGCUGCUGUCUGAUAUAGAAGACUUGGUGGCCGGGCUGAAAGAAAACCUCAUGGAAAUGGAGUUGCGAGAGAUGGAGGCCGAGGAGAACCGAGACCUGCAGGAGCUGGAGAUGGAGAGGCGCCAGGGACUACCCCCCGGUAUGGGCUGAAAGGAUAGUGGAGUUUGCAUUCCACAGACUACCACAGCUCCACGCCUGUUUGCAUGCAGAAUUGCAUGCAGGGAUAGUUUCAUUGUGUUGGUACAUAAAUAGACGAUAAAGGCUUUGAUACACGAAGAGGUGUUUACCUGUUUUCCUGGUACUUCUGCUACGUUUCUCGAGACAAUAAAGGCAAACCUAGCAGUGAGAAGUACACCCUGAUACCAUUGCCCUGAGGGAGGCAACAGUAAUCUCCAAGCAGAUUCUGCGGUAGCAUAAGAUGUAGUGUCUAAAGCUGCCAGAGGAGUGAAGUCGGCCUAGCGGUGUGCUUCGCUAUCAGUGGCUGAUGACUCCCUUUGGCCAGCUUUGAUUCUAUCUUAUGCCACUGGUAAAUCUGCCUGGAGAUUAGGCAACACAGGUACCGAAACGCCGGCAGGUAAAUUCCUCAUGCUUGUGUGAAAGACUUUAUCAUCAUAAAAACGCAAGACCAACCGAGGAAAUACAACAAAUAAAAACAAAGUUUGAAACAAUCUU